GUCCAGUGAUAGGCAGCUCAUUUAGAGAUGCAACAACACUAUAAGAGAACCUAACUUUUUGCUGUAUAUUCUGCCAUAAUUACUGUGUCACAGAUAUCUACUUUCAGGGUUAUAAGAUAGCAAGCAUUGAAUUUUCAUCAUUCAAAACCUGGAAGGUAAUGCUGGGGUUUCUGCUAGGAUUUUUCUUUCAGGGAGGAAAAUCUCCCCCACAGUUCCCCAGAUCAUUUCUCUUACAUCUUACUGGGCACCAGUUACUGGCAAAAGAAAAUGUGAUUACUAUGAUUGACUUCAACCAACAUGAACCAAUUCCCAGAGACUGGAGAAAACUUCUACCUCUCUUGAGUCACUUACUUUAUUCCUGGAAGAAAUUGGAUAGCUGUUAGCCAGAAAGAAGAUAUGAAUGGCUGAUUCACCUGGUUAAUCUCUAAUGAUUCCUUAGUUUUUUCAUGUUUUCGCUUUACUGAUGUGAUCUAUACAUACUGGUCUUCUCGUUCUGUCUUUGAUUCUUUCCAAAAGUCAUUUCUUUUUCACACUUAAAAAUAUCACUCGUGAUGAUUCUUUCUAAUUUUUUUGUUUUUUAUCUCUAGCUAUUUCUUUCUAAGCUUCAGUUCAGAAUAUCUGUUUUGUGGACACCUUCAUCCACAUUUAAUUUAAGUGAAUAUUUACUAAGUUUCGGGGAGUGAAAAAUAAAUCUUGCACUAUACAGUUAGGCAUUUUUGUUGGAGGAAUUAGCUAGAGAAACAAGUUAUUACAACACAGUAGUACUUAGAAAGGCAAUCAAACAAUAAAACUUUCCAAAUAGAAGUAGCAUAGAUGAAGGGGCUGUUAAUAGAGCCAUAGGCCUGUUUAUAAUGGAACUUGUCUUUCCCUUCAAACAUUGUCCUGUAUUCUGCAUUUUCGUGAAAACAUAGCUGUGCACAACUUUAUUCACUCCAGAAACUGGUAAUCUGAAAUCCUUCCUUAUCUAUAUAGCCAGCCAAUUGGCAAAAUGUAUAGAUUCUACUUCUUAUUUUAUAAUUUUUUGGUCUUUAUAUCAUGGUCAUUGUACUUUAGGUCUCAAUUACUAAUCUCUGAUUUAUUCACUCAGUGAAAGUUCAUUAAGCAGCAGUAUAUUGUAAAGGUUUUAUUCUGUUGGUUCUAGGAGGAAAAAGAAAGAAUAAAACAAGAUCUCUCAGGGAGGUUUCAACUCAGUGGAUAAAAAGAGUGUCUCAAAAUAAAAUAAAAAGGGUUGGGGGUAUAGCUUGGUAAUAGAGCAGAACACUUCUGGGUUCAAUCCUCAAUAUUGCAAAACAAAACAAAAUAAAAAACCCAUAGUGAGU
rnacentral:lncRNA from 1 species